GUGGGGUGGUGGAGUCGAGGGUGCUAAGAGCAACAAAACUAAAUUCUGAAGCAAUUGUUCUGACUCUUGAGUGCUUAUAUUUAUUUCAUUAAUCUCGGAAGAUAUGGCGUCUCAUAAGGUGCCUGGUAAUCGCAAAUUGAUAGGUGCCAAAUCAGAAUACUAUUUUAUGCUUUAUGCAGGUACUGAAGAAGUGAAGAGCUACGACCGGAUUGAUUUUGGUAUGUUUGGUCGGAGUUGGGCUCCCAUUGUUUCUUGGGCCGUGAUAGUGGUUCCCCACGAGCCGGAGAGUAAUUGGAGAAAAAAUUUACCUCCUCCAAGUGUCAAUAAUAUGGACCCCGCUAGCUCGCUUUGUGUCAUUGCAUCUGGUUCUUCUAAUGGUUAUAAGCCUAUAGGUGAUGAUAAACAUGAUCGUCCUUUUCAUGGCGUUAGAACUACAGUUCGAUUGAACAAAUUGAAAUAUGAUCGUGAAGUGUUGCGCGGAGGUUCUCUUGUUUUGGAGAUUAAUCUUCUAGAGGUUUUUUCCGGAGGAGAUGUUGUGGAUUCUGAUCAUACUUUUGAUGGUCAAGUGUUCUGGAACUUGUACUCGAAUUGAAUAUUGUACGGUGAGAUAAGUUGAUGUGUGUAUUAAUGGUAUUAUCUAAUAUAAACAUAGGAUUGGACAUAUAGUUGUGUCAAUGUAUUGUGUAAUUUAACUACCUCUAGAUAAUAUUAUCGUUUGUGUAAUGAUUGUAAUUGAUGUUUUGUUGGAGGAUCCUUUAGUAUGCUUAUAAAAAGGAUUCAAGUGUGUUGUAACGAGCAGAGCUCUUCUAAGUCUAGUCCAUAAAUAAAUAAAAGAGUUGACUAUAAUGUAAUAUUGUGGGGUCUUCUACUGUGUCUAUAAAAAGGAUCCAAGUGUGUUGUAAUAUGAGUAGAGAUUCAUGAAUUUAGUCUAUAAAUAAAUUAAACAAGUGUUUUAUAUAGUCCUUUUAUGAACAUGUAUGGUCUCAUUUCCUUCAUAAAGCAAUGUAUAGCCGUUGUGACAAAAUCUUAUUACUCAAGUUUACUCAUGAAUCCUUGAAUUUAGUGUAUAAAAAAAUUAAACAAGUGUUUUAUAUAGUCCUUUUAUGAACAUGUAUGGUCUCAUUUCCUUCAUAAAGCAAUGUAUAGCCGUUGUGACAAAAUCUUAUUACUCAAGUUUACUCAUGAAUCCUUUACACAAAUGUAUAGCGGUUGUGAUAAAACCUUAUUACUCAAGUUUACUCAUGAAUCCUUUACACAAAUGUUACAAAUGUAUAAUAACAAAAUUGAGAAGUCAUUUUCACACGUUACAAAUAUAUACUAACAAAACUGAAAUAACAUUAUUACAAAUUAGAACAAUAUGUAAUAACAAAAAAUAAAUAAAUAAACUCGAGGCUUGUAAAGUUAAUAGUUUAUUUAAAACAAAUUCGCAUCUUCUCAAUGGUGCUUAAUUUAUAUCAAUCUCUGUCUUUCAAGAUGCAACGGAUUCGAAUAGUCUCAUGAGCACAAUCAUACUAUUCUAUCAAAUUUGAAACUAGUGUUUGAACUAAAAUCAGAGAAAAUUUGUUUCAGAUAGAAGAAGGAAAUGCCACUUCAAUUUUGUGUGUUUUGCAAAUAAAAUUAGAAACCAA
rnacentral:lncRNA from 1 species